UGAACACGUGGUCUAUCGUCUGCUGAAGCUUCCUCGGCGUCUCAUUCGUCGCUUAUGCGCAUACGUCGCUUGUGCAAUUGCACGUACGCCGAUUGUGCUUUUCGGAGGAUAAAAACGAAGACGUGUGUGAUUUUACGUCACUAAUUGCUUCUUUUUCCCAAAUUUGUCUUCACAACACUACUUGUCACCACAACGUACAACGUUUCUGUCAUUGCUAGAGUGAAAAAUCGCAACAGGUUUUGCUUCUCAUCAGUUCAGCACGCGUGUUCAUUCUUGGAUUUUUGUGCAACUGGAACUAUUUCCCGUGCUAUUUGUUCAUAACUCCACCAUUAGGCGGCGUUACGUGGCCAAUUUCAGGAAAAUUCCGUGAAAUUCCUUCGACAUUUUGGGAAGGAAAGUGGUCUUCACAGUAUUGAAAUUUUGGAUUAAUGCUCUUUCUUGCUACUGCAGACUACGCACUCUCUUCGGAUAUUGAUUCAUCUCGAUCGGACACAAUAUUCGGACACAUUUUUGGAACUGGCAGAGUCUUCUUGAGCAAUUGUCAUCAAUCAAGUAGGAUGCAAAAGCCGAGUCGCUGACGGGGUCAACUUCGUACCAUACGACGUGACUAAUACUAACGAAUUAUAGAGUAUCGGCAGCUAUAGUUACGAUAACACACAGACAGAAUACCCGACAUAACAGGCAGGACAGGUACAGCGAUCAUUAGGAAGAGCAGAAAUGGCGCGAUUGGAAACCAACCGAGGCGUACCAGAAACUCAUAGCGGCGUCGAGAAUCAAGCCAACGUGUCGCAAAGUGUAGUGAUCUAAUCCCUGCUGGCGAGAACUGGCUUAUGAAUUGUUUUCUGCCUUGAAAUAAAAGGAGGUACAUGUUAUUACAU